AACCGAAAGUCAACAUUUCUUUCCAAGGCAACCUUUCUUGCAGAAAGAGGGAUCUUACUUGGGGUUAUGGGAGAAGAGGCUUGAACAGAAACUUGAGCAGUCCUCUUCUUUCUUUCUUCAGCUUCCAAUAGCCUCACAGACUUUCUUCUUUGUGGCAGCCGCAUCUUGGGGGCCAUUGUCCCAAUGAGAGCAAGAGAACCGACUAAGAGAGUAGAGAAGGGUGAAAGAUAGAUGGAAAUGAAGAGAAGGGAUUUUGAGGUGAUUGUUUCGGAUUUCAAAGAUUAGGGCUUAAGGUUCUGAUGGAGAGCAAGAAGGAGAGGGUUUUGAUCAAGGAUAUGCCGAGAGGAUGUGUUUACCCUAGAUUUGAGGUAAAAAUCAAAGAUUUUGGGCGGUUAAGGAGAUGGAUUUAGAAGAUUAUGGCCGGUGAAGAGCUUGGAGAAGGGUUUUGAUUUGGGAUGAGAAGAGGAGGAAGAAGCAUAGUAAUUGAGUCACCCCACUUAGAUUUUAAGUGAGAAAAUUAAACGGGUCGGCCCAACAAAAUCCACUUACUCGAUCAAUUGGGACGUCCCAUGGGUCGUUCCAUCCAGAAAAAAUUCAGAUGAUGAGAAAAUAAUUCAAAAAUGAGAAAAAAAAAUCAAAAGAAAAAAUUUGAAAGGAUUUGUAUCGACUUGAGAUGAUCGUGUAGAGUUCAGGUAAAUUUUGGUAUGAUUUUUGAUGAAGAAUUUCAAUGGAAAAAAUUUGAGAUCAUAUCCUGAUUUGAAAUAAUCUUAAAAAAAAAAGAUGCCUUUCAAAAUUAAGAUGAUGAAGUCAAGAGAUUUUGGGAGUGAAAUUAUGAUG
rnacentral:lncRNA from 1 species